GAUGAACGCUGGCGGCGUGCCUAAUACAUGCAAGUCGAGCGAACAGACGAGGAGCUUGCUCCUCUGACGUUAGCGGCGGACGGGUGAGUAACACGUGGAUAACCUACCUAUAAGACUGGGAUAACUUCGGGAAACCGGAGCUAAUACCGGGUAAUAUAUUGAACCGCAUGGUUCAAUAGUGAAAGGCGGUUUUGCUGUCACUUAUAGAUGGAUCCGCGCCGCAUUAGCUAGUUGGUAAGGUAACGGCUUACCAAGGCAACGAUGCGUAGCCGACCUGAGAGGGUGAUCGGCCACACUGGAACUGAGACACGGUCCAGACUCCUACGGGAGGCAGCAGUAGGGAAUCUUCCGCAAUGGGCGAAAGCCUGACGGAGCAACGCCGCGUGAGUGAUGAAGGUCUUCGGAUCGUAAAACUCUGUUAUUAGGGAAGAACAAAUGUGUAAGUAACUAUGCACGUCUUGACGGUACCUAAUCAGAAAGCCACGGCUAACUACGUG
rnacentral:rRNA from 1 species